rnacentral:misc_RNA from 1 species
GAUGAAGAACGUAGCGAAAUGCGAUAAGUAGUGUGAAUUGCAGAAUUCAGUGAAUCAUCGAAUCUUUGAACGCACAUUGCGCCCCAUGGUAUUCCGUGGGGCAUGCCUGUUCGAGCGUCAUUUACCCCCUCAAGCUCCGCUUGGUGUUGGGCGUCUGUCCCGCUUCGCGCGCGGACUCGCCCCAAAGGUAUUGGCAGCGGUCGUGCCAGCUUCUCGCGCAGCACAUUGCGCUUCUCGAGGCACCGGUGGGCCCGCGUCCAUCAAGCUCACCCCCCCAGUUUGACCUCGGAUCAGGUAGGGAUACCCGCUGAACUUAAGCAUAUCAAUAAGCGGA